rnacentral:rRNA from 1 species
AUUGAACGCUGGCGGCAGGCCUAACACAUGCAAGUCGAACGAGUGGCGGACGGGUGAGUAAUGUCUGGGAAACUGCCUGAUGGAGGGGGAUAACUACUGGAAACGGUAGCUAAUACCGCAUACCAUCGGAUGUGCCCAGGUGGGAUUAGCUAGUGGGUGGGGUAAAGGCUCACCAAGGCGACGAUCCCUAGCUGGUCUGAGAGGAUGACCGGCCACACGGGAACUGAGACACGGCCCAGACUCCUACGGGAGGCAGCAGUGGGGAAUAUUGCACAAUGGGCGCAAUCCUGAUGCAGCCAUGCCGCGUGUAUGAAGAAGGCCUUCGGGUUGUAAAGUACUUUCAGCGGGGAGGCGUUACCCGCAGAAGAAGCACCGGCUAACUCCGUGCCAGCCGCCGCGGUAAUAC